GCAAUUGGCUGGAUAGUUCCAUCGGUAAAAGCAUGAGACUUUUAAUCUCAGGGUUGUGGGUUUGAGCCCCACAUUGGGCA